GUAAGGAAUAUUGGUCAAUGGGGGCAACCCUGAACCAGCCAUGCCGCGUGAAGGAUGAAGGCGUUAUGCGUUGUAAACUUCUUUUGUAUGGGAAGAAUGACAGGGAUUCAUCCUUGGAGAGACGGUACCAUACGAAUAAGCACCGGCUAACUCCGUGCCAGCAGCCACGGUAAUACGGAGGGUGCAAGCGUUAUCCGGAAUCACUGGGUUUAAAGGGUACGUAGGCGGUUAAUUAAGUCAGUAGUGAAAGACUGUCGCUCAACGACGGAUGUGCUAUUGAUACUGGUUAACUUGAAUCAGGUUAGAGUUGGCGGAAUGGGUCAUGUAGCGGUGAAAUGCUUAGAUAUGACUUGGAACACCGAUAGCGAAGGCAGCUGACUGAGGCGAUACUGACGCUGAGGCACGAAAGCGUGGGGAUCGAACAGGAUUAGAAACCCUGGUAGUCC
rnacentral:rRNA from 1 species